GAUGGGGGGGGCAAGUGUUCUUCGGAAUGACUGGGCGUAAAGGGCACGUAGGCGGUGAAUCGGGUUGAAAGUGAAAGUCGCCAAAAAGUGGCGGAAUGCUCUCGAAACCAAUUCACUUGAGUGAGACAGAGGAGAGUGGAAUUUCGUGUGUAGGGGUGAAAUCCGUAGAUCUAUGAAGGAACGCCAAAAGCGAAGGCAGCUCUCUGGGUCCCUACCGACGUGGGUGCGAAAGCAAGGGGAGCGAACAGG
rnacentral:rRNA from 1 species